AUAACUAAAAAAAGAACGUAUGAACAAAAGAGAGAAUAAAACCCACCAAUAAUAGACAAAAUCAAACUAUGUCAAUUUGCGAGACUUGAUUUUGUUGCUUAUGUGUUGGCGAAAGAUUAUUUAGAUAUCAAGGAGAUCUUAGGACAACCAUUCAAUUUUUUUUCUAAGUUAUACAAUCUUUGUUGGGAUAUGUCAUUUUAUUUGUUCUCCAUUUGUUCUAACUAAAAGUUGAUAUUUUAUAUGUUGAUAAUUGAGAUAAUCAUAAUUAGACUGUUAUUUUUGUUCACUUUCAUACUUCUUACUCUCCGCGAUAAAGAAUAAAACAAAACUUUUGUAUUUUACAAUGAAACUUUUCUCUUUUUGCAUCUGAAAUAAUUAUCUUUUAAUGUAGUAAAACAAAAUUUCCUU
rnacentral:sRNA from 1 species